rnacentral:rRNA from 1 species
AACGAACGCUGGCGGCGCGCCUAAUACAUGCAAGUCGAGCGAGAAGGUGUAGCAAUACACUUGUAAAGCGGCGAACGGGUGAGGAAUGCAUGGGUAACCUACCCUCGAGUGGGGAAUAACUAGCCGAAAGGUUAGCUAAUACCGCAUACGUUUCCGGAACUUCGGUUUCGGAAAGAAAGCAAUACCGUGGGUAUUGCGCUCCUGGAUGGGCUCAUGUCCUAUCAGCUUGUUGGUGAGGUAACGGCUCACCAAGGCUUCGACGGGUAGCUGGUCUGAGAGGACGAUCAGCCACACUGGCACUGCGACACGGGCCAGACUCCUACGGAGGCAGCAGUAAGGAAUAUUGCGCAAUGGACGAAAGUCUGACGCAGCGACGCCGCGUGGGGGAUGAAGGUCUUCGGAUUGUAAACCCCUUUCGGGAGGGAAGAUGGAGUGGGUAACCACUUGGACGGUACCUCCAGAAGCAGCCACGGCUAACUUCGUGCCAGCAGCCGCGGUAAU